AUGCGAUAAGUAGUGUGAAUUGCAGAAUUCAGUGAAUCAUCGAAUCUUUGAACGCACAUUGCGCCCUCUGGUAUUCCGGGGGGCAUGCCUGUUCGAGCGUCAUUAAAACUACUCAAGCUAAGGUUUUACCUUCUGCUUGGUCUUGGGUCUGAGGAGUCAAAUCCUCUGUCCGAAAUUCAGUGGUGAAUUGUUUGAGCUGUGGACGUAGUAAAACUUUCUACCCGUUGCACGCGAGAAUCUAUUCUGCCAUAAACCCCCAUACUUUUCUAGUUUGACCUCGGAUCAGGUAGGGAUACCCGCUGAACUUAA
rnacentral:misc_RNA from 1 species